UGGGGCAGCGGUUGUAACUAUACUGAGACCUUAGAACUUCUAUCUCAAGGUGUGUGGUGCGUUUACGCUGUGGAUGUCUAUGGGUUCCAGUAACCACUUAACACAAGGUGGGCUGUGAGCUCGUCCACACAUUAAUACGAAGAGCAUAAUCAAACGAAAUUAGAUACGAAGUUUAAAGGGCCGUUUAAAGUAGUUGAAGUAUUGGAUGGUGUCGAUUUAAUUUUGACUCUCACACAUUCGCUUAAGGCUCGAGCUGCUACUUGCCUCACAAAAAUACAGCCUGCAAAACCUGAACAACCUCCUCAUCCGUGGGCGCCCGGCUCUCGCCUGCAAGUCAGCUGUUACGUGUGCGGUGAUGCGAGUCAUGUAGCUUCUGGGUGUUCCAUGCGCUACAAGAAGAAAAACGACACUGCUCCAGGUGCUGUGGCAGGUGCAACCAGAGACGUCAACGUGUGUUCCAGAGCUUCAGUGUGUUACAGAUAAGUGGUUUUGGCUUCCCCUUUAUGUUCCAUUGAGGGUCAGAAUGUAGUCUUAUAAAACAAAGCCAUAGUAAUUUAUUCAAUGGUAAGAGGUUUCAUGAACAAGUCACUCUUUGAUCUGAAAGUAACUCGGACCAAUCAUGGCAAGAGCAGUUAGGGGAUAUUCAACUCGCCCUUAAUAGUACACGUUGUCAAGUAACAGGGUUUACUCCAAUAGAAUAGAUGUUUACCGU